AUAAUUGUGGAGAAAAGCCAGAAGCACUUUGUCAGAUUCCUGCAGCAAUCCGUUCCCAACAGCUUUCAUUCAAAGAAGUAAAGUUUAUUGAGACGUCUGAAAGAGCCUUUUCAGACAUUCAGCUCACAUCAUCGGGACCUGGAACAUUGCGACCCGGAGAGAAUCUCAAUCUGGUCUGUAAAGUGACAGGAGUCUCCAUCACUCAUAGCAGUUAUGGUUGGGACUGGAUCCGUCAGCCUCCUGGGAAAGGUCUGGAAUGGGUUGCAGGAAUAUACCCCUAUGAUGGCAGCAAGAGCUAUCCUUCUUCUCUCCAAAGCCGUGUAACCAUUUCUGCAGACAGCUCUGAGAACCAGCUCUCCUUCCAGCUGAACUCGGUGACGGCUGCCGAUUCUGCUGUGUAUUUUUGUGCCCGGUCAUCACGGUGA